UCCAGGGGAACAUCACAUAAAUGCUGGAAUCUGAUUUUCACAAUAUGUAGGACCACAGAUUCACGCUCCUUCUUUCUUUUUUGGAGCAAAGGCUCUUUGGAGCUCUUGCUAAUUAGGGUCUGAAUCAUCACCUGCUCUGGGAAAUGUUCACCUAGAAGACAAAGCCGAACUCUGAGCCCAGCUCCCAGGACUGUGGGGUCCCUGCCAACCUGCGGUGCGGUGAGUUACCCACAUCUGAGCUUAGUGUCCAGAGGAGAAGUGUCCCAAUUCCACCCCAAAGCUUCUGGAAGCAGAGUCGUCCUCACAUCCAGCGAACAUGCGUUCUGCUCCCACUACCUGAAGGGCCCGUGUGACGUCUGAGGACACGAGAUGGAAGGUCUGUCCUUGGCCUCUGGGGCCUGGAUUUCCUAGGGAGGCCCGGACUCCCGCCCGCCGGUCUGGGACCCACAGUCGGGAGGACAGAGGUGUUGGUCCUGGGGCUGCUCUGCAUGUUCAUGACGCUCACGUGGCCUGGGACACAGAUCUGCCCACGCUCCUGGCAUCCCGUGGCCGAGCUCUCCUGCACUAACCCCGGCUGUCACUACUGUAAACUUUCAUGCACGAGGAGCCUGUUUUCUCACUGAAGCGAACGUCAAGGCCAUUGCUGGCCAGCUGCUGACCCCGCUCAGAGCUCGCUCCUGCAGACUGCGGGCAGGAUGCCCACAGCACCGGGAGCAGUGUCCUCUGGUUACAGCUGUGUGGCCUCCGUCAGGAGCAGAGACCCGGCCACGGGGCCUGAGCCAUCUGUCUGCACCUGCCUGCAGUUCCUUCCCUUCCUGGUGGACGCGUGCCCCCAGCCACCCCCCGAUGGGCCGCCCUGCACAGCUGCUCAGAGCCCCCUUCCUGCUGUGUUUCCCUGUCCCCUGUGCUGCUCUUGUUCCCCUGAUGAAAGAAAAUGCCCAGGAGCCUCUGCGUGGAGGCUCCUCCCCCUUCCCUGAGGGAUCUGUGCUUCUCUCUCUGUCCAGCCUGUGGGCUCCCCUAGGACAACGACUUAGCUUCCUGUCUCAGCUUUCCCCUGCUGCACACAGUAGGUGCUCAUGACCUGUGUGUGCAGGUGAGCUGAGGUGGGAAGGCUUCUUUGCUAGAAGUCUCUAGCGGCAGUUCGGUCCUCAGCCACCAGGUGGCGCUGGUGCCUGCGCUCGGGACCUGGAGGGAGGCUGCUCAGGGAGGCUUGGGGGCACAGGUGCUGCCCAGGGGGGCGGGGCUACGGAACCUCUCCCUUUGCUCCCAGACCCACCACCGGGGCUGGUCAGGGUGUCAGUGCCAGAGAAACUGGGAGGGGCUGGCAGGUCGACAGGGGGCGGUACAGACGUGAAGGUGCAGCAGGGAGUCAGGGAUUAGGAGCCCAGCCUGGAAGGUAAGAGCCCAGGUGAGUGAUCUGGGGUGAGGUCCUGAUGUAGGAGGGGUGCAGACCCCAGGAGGUGCACUACUGAAAUUAGGCUGGGUCAGCGUUUUGGGGAUGAGAGUGGGGUAGGUUACCGUUGGGAAUGGGGGAGCCCUUGAGGGUCCUGAGUCUGAGAUCCGAGCUCAUGAUCCAGGUGUCUGGUGUGGAACAGCCUCAGGAGGAGAGAGGGGCCCCCGCCGCAACCCUUGAGAUGGACCCUGAGACGUGAAGGCAGAUUGCCCAGAGAGGGAGCUCCUGAGGACAGAGCUCAUGUUUACACGUAGGAUUGAAAAUUGGAGCAGAUGGUUCCAGAAUCGAAGUCUCCCUUCCACCUGUGUGUCCCACGGCCCCUCUGCUCCAGGGGAGCCCGUCCUACUUUCUCGCGGUUCACAGUGGCUACUGGGUUUCCUCAGAGCUACACUGUGUGGGUGAUGUCGAUACAUCAGUGCUUUAUGGACCGCUAGGCAACGUCAGUGCAGACGUGUGUCCUGACCUCAGAAAUGUCCACAGUGAGGACACCCGAGCCCAAGGGAUCGUGCCGAACAGGAGCCAUCAGUCCUGUGCAAGGACAGUCACUUUCAAUCCUUAAUGAUGUUUUAUGGCAUUUACCUCUGUGUUUCUAAAAAAUGUUCUUUUUUAAAAAUGAUGUUCUUAUAUCACUAUUUUCAGAUCAAUUUGAGGCACAUAGUAGUUUCCAUCAUG